AUUGAACGCUGGCGGCAGGCCUAACACAUGCAAGUCGAACGAGUGGCGGACGGGUGAGUAAUGUCUGGGAAACUGCCCGAUGGAGGGGGAUAACUACUGGAAACGGUAGCUAAUACCGCAUACCAUCGGAUGUGCCCAGAGGGGAUUAGCUAGUAGGUGGGGUAACGUCUCACCUAGGCGACGAUCCCUAGCUGGUCGGGGAGGAUGACCAGCCACACUGGAACUGAGAUACGGUCCAGACUCCGAGGGGAGUCAGCAGUGUGGAAUAUUGCACAAGGGGCGAAAGCCUGAUGCAGCUAUGCCGCGUGUAUGAAGAAGGCCUUCGGGUUGUAAAGUACUUUAAGCGAGGAGGCGUUACUCGCAGAAGAAGCACCGGCUAACUCCGUGCCAGCCGCCGCGGUAAUAC
rnacentral:rRNA from 1 species